GGUACAGGGUGAUAGUCCCGUACACCAAAAUGCACAGGUUGUGAACUCGAAGAGUAGGGCGGGACACGUGGUAUCCUGUCUGAAUAUGGGGGGACCAUCCUCCAAGGCUAAAUACUCCUGACUGACCGAUAGUGAACCAGUACCGUGAGGGAAAGGCGAAAAGAACCCCGGCGAGGGGAGUGAAAAAGAACCUGAAACCGUGUACGUACAAGCAGUGGGAGCACCUUCGGGUGUGACUGCGUACCUUUUGUAUAAUGGGUCAGCGACUUAUAUUCUGUAGCAAGGUUAACCGUAUAGGGGAGCCGCAGGGAAACCGAGUCUUAACUGGGCGUUAAGUUGCAGGGUAUAGACCCGAAACCCGGUGAUCUAGCCAUGGGCAGGUUGAAGGUUGGGUAACACUAACUGGAGGACCGAACCGACUAAUGUUGAAAAAUUAGCGGAUGACUUGUGGCUGGGGGUGAAAGGCCAAUCAAACCGGGAGAUAGCUGGUUCUCCCCGAAAGCUAUUUAGGUAGCGCCUCGUGAAUUCAUCUUCGGGGGUAGAGCACUGUUUCGGCUAGGGGGUCAUCCCGACUUACCAACCCGAUGCAAACUACGAAUACCGAAGAAUGUUAUCACGGGAGACACACGGCGGGUGCUAACGUCCGUCGUGAAGAGGGAAACAACCCAGACCGCCAGCUAAGGUCCCAAAGUCAUGGUUAAGUGGGAAACGAUGUGGGAAGGCACAGACAGCCAGGAUGUUG
rnacentral:rRNA from 1 species